CUCGAUCCUAUCUUCCAAGCAAAGUAUCAGAGAUAGUUGCAAUUUGGAGGAAAGACUUGAAUAAGGUUAACCCCAAAGCUGCUGAUUCAUUGGCUGAUCCUGAGGAGUAUCCUAAUUUGUUUGAUGACUGGCAAGUUGCACUUUCUGUUGAAUCUAGAGCUGCACAGGACAGGGGAGUUUUUACCCCUGCAGAAGAGUAUGGUAAUCUUGCUGAUAAGCCAUACACGACGCUUGUGGAAGCAUUUAGAAGUAUGCAAAUAGAAGGACAUCUUGAAAAUGGAGACGUCGAUCAUGAGGACACGGAACAUGAACAGAACGG
rnacentral:misc_RNA from 1 species